rnacentral:rRNA from 1 species
GACGGAGGAUGCAAGCGUUAUCCGGAAUUACUGGGCGUAAAGCGUGCGCAGGCGGGCUUUUAAGCCAGACGUGAAAUCCCCGGGCUCAACCCGGGAACUGCGUCCGAUACUGGCAGGCUUGAAUCCGGGAGAGGGAUGUGGAAUUCCAGGUGUAGCGGUGAAAUGCGUAGAUAUCGGAAGGAACACCGGUGGCGAAAGCGGCGCGCUGGACCUCUUCUGACGCUGAGACGCGAAAGCCAGGGGAGCAAACGGGG